ACUCUGAGGAAUUUGUGAAUCAAAAUUCCCACCCUUGAAUCAUCUUGAUUUUGACAAAAUGGUAUACAACAAAAACAAUAAUAAACCAAACUCAGUCUGUUGAAUCUUAACAGCGUAAAAUAAUUAAGAUGAAAAGUUGUGAAGUUAUUUCAAAUUCAAAGAAAUUUUCCUGAGCACCACUCAGCAAUGGAUCCAGCGUGGAAGACAUGCCUUUUGCAACAAUCGAACGGUUAUCCUGCUGCUUCUACGCAUACGCUAUGACAAGUCUGGAGAUUGAACCAAAUCGGAAUCAAAAGCCAAGUAAGUGGCCGAAGCAGAUGAAUUUG